AUAUAUAAGCGUCUGGGGCACAUGCCUCCUUGGGGUGUCCAUCUCAAGACCCAGUGGCCCGCUCGCUCUCCUGCCCGAGGAGGACCAUGCCUGGGCCCCACAGCUACCGGGGUUCCCCCUGAACCCCCCCAUCUUCCAGGUCCAUCCCUCCCAACAGGACACCCCAGCGAAACCCCAGCGAACCACCACCCCCACCGGGGAAACUUCCCUCCUCCUCGAUGGAGGGAUGAGCCAAGAGGUUGGUUCCUCCUUCCUUGGAUUACUUGGAGCUUCAUCCCGCGCUGGAAGGGAAAAGCUGGAGCCUGGGAAUGGUCAGCUGUUUGGGGAGCAGACGGAAGGAGUUCGGCUCUGACACCUGACGGCUCCCGAGCUGGGUCCUGCCGCGGCCGCGUGGAAGAGCCCGGGGGUCUCCGGGCGCAGUGGGGAGGGGAGAGGAGAUCUAUUUAUUUCAUAUAUUUAUUUAUUUAUAUGCAUCCUGCCACCUUCCUCCCCCUCUUCAUCGUGAAAGCUGCCGCCCGCCCAAGGAAUCCUCCGGGGAAAAAGGAGAAUUUUGGAAUUCCCUCGCAGGGACCGUGUGUGAUGAGGAGGAAGAGGAGGAGAACAACCAGGGGCUUGCUGUGAGCUGGAAACCUUCCUUCUAAGAGUAGAAUAUUUGAGCUUCGGCCUCGUGCCCGGGUCCGUCUGUUCCUCCUGCCGUCCCACCCCCCCCAAGUUCUUCCAGGAUGAUGCUCAACUCGGACCAGACGGAGAUCGACCUGCCCCCGACGCACUCCGAAUCCGAAUCCGUCUUCAGCGACUGCGGCGGCGGCCGAGGGGGCACCGGGGAGGACACCGGUGGCCUCGGUUUGUGCCCCCAAUCCCGGGUGGCCGAAGCGGGUGAAGCUGUGAAGAAAGAUCUGCAGCACCUGAGCCGGGAGGAACGGCGGCGCCGGCGCCGGGCCACGGCCAAAUACCGGACAGCCCACGCCACGCGGGAGAGGAUCCGCGUGGAGGCCUUCAACAUGGCCUUCGCCGAGCUGAGGAAGCUGCUGCCCACCCUGCCCCCGGACAAGAAGCUCUCCAAGAUCGAGAUCUUGCGCCUGGCCAUCUGCUACAUCUCCUACCUGAACCACGUGCUGGACGUCUGAGCUGCCUAGCUGAUGUCCAUAUGUCCAUCUCUCAGCCGUCAUCUCCUACCCAAACCAUGUGUUGGAUGUCUGAGCUUCCUGGCCGGCAUCUGACUCUCCGUCUGUCCAUCUCUUGGAUGUCAUCUCCUACCUGAACCAUGUUCUGGACAUCUGAGGCGCCCAGCCAGCGUCUGUCUGUCCAUUUCGCAGUCGUCAUCUCCUACCCAAACCAUGUGUUGGAUGUCUGAGCUUCCUGGCCAGCAUCUGACUGUCCGUCUGUCCGUCUCUCGGCCGUCAUCUCCUACCUGAACCAUGUUCUGGACGUCCGAGCCACCCAGCCAGCAUCUGUCUGUCCAUCUCUCAGCUGUCAUCUCCUACCCAAACCAUGUGUUGGAUGUCUGAGCUUCCUGGCCAGCAUCUGACUCUCCGUCUGUCCAUCUCUCGGCCAUCAUCUCCUACCUGAACCACGUUCUGGACGUCUGAGCCGCCCGGCCAAGCGUCCGUCUGUCCAUCUC
rnacentral:lncRNA from 1 species